rnacentral:lncRNA from 1 species
UGUCGUGACUUGCCAGAGAGUGGAGGAGCCACACGGUAUCCAUCGCAGAAAGUGGAGCAGAGUCGUGGCCAUUAUUGUGGUCUGCCAGGGAGUGAUGGAGCCACGCAGAAUCUAUCGCAGGAAGUGGAGUAGAGUCGUGGCCGUUACAAUGGCCUGCCAGGAAGUGAUGGAGCCAUGCGAAAUCCGUCACAGGAAGUGAAGCAGAGACAUGGCCGUUACUAUGGCC